ensembl:lncRNA
AUGGUGAAAGGCCAAAUUAAUGUUUCGCUCAAUAAAAGAAGGGGUAUGUACGUCCUUGUUGUUGUCAGAACAUGCAAGCACAGUGAGGCAUUUGGUUAGAGUGUGUGUGUGUUCAAGAAACUUUGAAGAACAAAAUAAUGAAGAGGCAAAAGCCAUCCGGGGCGCAAUUUAGGAAGAAAAGAAAGGAAGAAGAAAAGAAACGUGCAAAGGAGAAAGGGUCAACACACGACUCCUUCAUCGUGCGUAAUUGCAGCGUUGGGAACCGACUGGAGGAUGGAGCAGGCAGAGACGGCUGGCUUCUAGGUGACCGAGGUUAUCCUCUGAAGCCAUGGCUUCUCACCCCGAUUGCGCUCACUGAGACCG